AGGACGAACGCUGGCGGCGUGCCUAACACAUGCAAGUCGAGCGAGGAGAUCCUCGGGAUGAUCCUAGCGGCGGACGGGUGAGUAACACGUGGGCAACCUGCCUCAUAGAGAGGAACAGCCUUCCGAAAGGGAGAUUAAUACCUCAUAACAUUGCAGUUUCGCAUGGAACAGCAAUUAAAGGAGCAAUCCACUAUGAGAUGGGCCCGCGGCGCAUUAGCUAGUUGGUGAGGUAACGGCUCAUCAAGGCGACGAUGCGUAGCCGACCUGAGAGGGUGAUCGGCCACAUUGGGACUGAGACACGGCCCAGACUCCUACGGGAGGCAGCAGUGGGGAAUAUUGCACAAUGGGGGAAACCCUGAUGCAGCCAACGCCGCGUGAGUGAUGACGGCCUUCGGGUUGUAAAGCUCUGUCUUCAGGGACGAUAAUGACGGUACCUGAGGAGGAAGCCACGGCUAACUACGUGCCAGCAGCAGC
rnacentral:rRNA from 1 species